ensembl:ncRNA F23H12.21 ncRNA
AUGCGUGAAUAAGUGUUUGUCGGCGCCAUCGGAAACUCUUCUGAUUAUUAAUAUUGCCUUUAUGGGUGUUAUCAAGGUCGUUGCAUUCAGAUGAUAAAUUGGUGGGGGAUGUGUCAAAAUGCCAAAUAUUCAUUGCAUAACAUACGGACAUACGUACGUUAAGAAAAAAUACAGAAAGUUACGCACAGAUUAUGUUUGCAAGUAUGUUCGCUUAUUUUCUGAAGUAAUCGAAACUUACUAAACACGCCUAAAAUUGUCUUAUCCAGAAAAUUUUCGAUGAUCAAACACCUGGAAAUAUUUGCGGAUCUAUACGAUAACAAUCUUUUUGGACACCUAUAUUUCAUUUUAA